rnacentral:lncRNA from 1 species
CCCACUGGUUCAACCAGGUGGGGUGGCAAGGAAGUCUGUCACAUUGCCCCUGGGCCACCCCAGGUGAACACCCUCCGCGGGACAGCAGUGUCUCAACAUGGGGUGGGCAAAUUACAAGGCUCCCUUGCAGGCCUUCUGGCUAAAAAUCUGCUAUCGGGUCAGGGUUGCUGCCCUUGUUGCAGAGCCAUACCCCAGCAGAAGAGGAGACCAUCCUUGGCACAGACCACCCAGACGUACCACACUGCUGGCCGUGUUCAAUCCUGGGCAGCACGAGGAGGUUUGGCAAGGUGUGGGCCGUGGCAACAGGCAAAGGCAGCAGAAGCGGGUGCAGGGAGGCAACAUGCCCCGCUUCCUCUGGCGGCGCAAGAGGACUGGCAGGGGCAGAAGGCGACAGAAGCAGCAGCAGCACAGGACAAAACAAUAUUUUAAGAGAGACUACAAGCUAAGACAACAGGAGAGAGAGAAAUACUUCAUGGGGCAGUGCCCUUGUCCAUCUUCCUCAAAUGGCUGCAGGAGGCAGCGCCGCCAGCACAGGUUUCCUGUGCAUGGACCACAGCGUGAGCAGCCUGGGAAGACAUGCUGGCAGGGCCACUGCUGGAGGAGCAACCAACAACGACGACAAAAAUGCACCAAGCCCCUCCACCAAGACCAGGCAGGUGGCCAGAGGGGUGGUGGUCAAGAGGAAAUGCUGUUCUGGAACAUGAAGAAGCGUUGCUGGGUGACAACCUCAUACCUGCCAGCAGCGAUGCUGCGACAGGCAAGCACGCACCUCCGCCCCAUGAACAUGGCAGGGUUCUGCCUGCCAGGGAUGCGCGUACCCCACAACACCAGCCAGUACAUCAUGGACCAGCAUGAGUUCCCAUGGAAAAACGAGGAGGAAGUGGUAGCGGCAAUGUCCGGAGGAAAUGGUAACUACAGCACUGAGGGUGAGGACUUCCUUCUCACAGUCCAGGAGGAUGAAGGCGUGUAUACAGAAGAGGAAGAGGAGGAGAGCACACAGGUUGCUUGGCAAGACUAGAAGUGCCAAGACAAUAUCUACUGUGAAAACUAGAGUGACAGCACAAGGAAAGCAUCUGACUUGUAAAAUAAUCAUCUAUUAAGAGCAGGCAAGCUCUUGACAUUCAGCUCUCUAAAUAAAUACAUAUCUUUACUUCUAACCCUGCUGCCU